ACUUCAAAGGGUGACUGAUCAUGCGCUUCCUGUAUGUUGGAAGGGCCCAUUCCAAUCAAUCCAACUGGUCAAGAGGAAAUUCAAGCCACUAGCGCUUGAAUUUACCAACAAAGUCAUGCAUAUCCCACCAGAAAACUACCUCGCACUCACGGGAGAAAAGAAUGUAUGCUUGGGCAUCCUUCGGACACCAAAGGCUGGUGGCCAAAUGAUAAUAAUUGGAGAUGUUACAAUGCAGGAUUUGCUUGUGAUAUAUGACAAUGAGCAGAAGCGUGUCGGAUGGAUCAGUAAACAGUGUAAACAUACUCUGGAAAUACCAUCAAUCAAUGCUCUCUGAACGAAGUGUAUGUGAGCAUCAGGCUUCGUAUAAGACGGAGUUCUCGGAAGCAGAGGGGUUAUAUAUUAACAAGAAUAAAUAUAAGUUUUUAUUGGCUUUAAUAUU